rnacentral:rRNA from 1 species
AGUGUAGGCGGUGCGAUAAGUCGAUUGUGAAAUCUUCCGGCUCAACCGGGAGGGUGCGGUCGAAACUGUCGGACUGGAGUCCGAGAGGGGAGAGUGGAAUUCCUGGUGUAGCGGUGAAAUGCGUAGAUAUCAGGAGGAACAUCGGUGGUGAAGACGGCUCUCUGGAUCGUGACUGACGCUGAGACUCGAAAGCGUGGGGAGCAAACA